CUUUCAACAAUGGAUCUCUUGGUUCUGGCAUCGAUGAAGAACGCAGCGAAAUGCGAUAAGUAGUGUGAAUUGCAGAAUUCAGUGAAUCAUCGAAUCUUUGAACGCACAUUGCGGCCAUAGGUAUUCCUUUGGCCAUGCCUGUUCGAGCGUCAUUUACACCCUCAAGCCUAGCUUGGUGUUGGGCGUCUGUCCCGCCGUUCUCGCGCGCGGACUCGCCACAAAGUCAUUGGCGGCGGUCGUGCCGGCCCCCUCGCGCAGCACAUUUGCGCUUCUCGGAGGCCCGGCGGAUCCGCGCUCCAGCAAGACCUUUCACGACUUGACCUCGGAUCAGGUAGGGAUACCCGCUGAACUUAAGCAUAUCAAUAAGCGGAGGAAAAGAAACCAACAGGGAUUGCCCUAGUAACGGCGAGUGAAGCGGCAACAGCUCAAAUUUGAAAUCUGGCCCCUUUGGGGUCCGAGUUGUAAUUUGCAGAGGGUGCUUUGGCGUUGGCGGCGGUCUAAGUUCCUUGGAACAGGACAUCGCAGAGGGUGAGAAUCCCGUAUGUGGUCGCAUGCCUUCGCCGUGUAAAGCCCCUUCGACGAGUCGAGUUGUUUGGGAAU
rnacentral:sRNA from 1 species